GCCUGGGUAGCUCAGUCGGUUGAGCAUCCGACUUCGGCUCAGGUCAUGAUCUCAUGGUUCGUGAGUUCGAGCCCCGCAUCGGGCU
rnacentral:tRNA from 1 species